GACAUACAUGGAUAUUCAGUUUAUAAUAUAUAAAAUAAUGCCUCUAUUCGACAGGUGUGGAGCUUUUUUGGCCUUGGAGGGAUUGAACUUGUUGCUUAUACAUUUCAAUAGUUUUUUUAACCUCCUGGAUGGCAAAAUCAAGUUUAUCAGCUUCAUCCUGUUCAAGUUGCUGUGAAAAUGGAUGAUCGGGCUCUGAUUCAACAGCUAAACCAUGGCCAUCUCCGAUUGGAUUUUGAGAAAGCAAUUUAUACGUGUAUUCAAAAGGUUCGUUGAAAACAAUUUCUUCAUACUGUACAGAUUCGACCAAACCACCAGAAGCCUUCAUUUCUUCCAUGCGAGGACCGUAGGGAUGAAGCUUUAGAUGGUGAUAAAAUGUUAAGGCUUUUUCAUGUGCUUCAGGGGCGAAGAAAAUGCGUACCAUUAUGUCAAAUUCACCCCAACCAGUUUCGAUUACUUCAAAAGGAGGAGACUCUAUGGUACGUGUUGGAUUGUUGUACGUAUCAUGCAAUUUGAAAACAACCUUUCUAACCCAUUUUGAAAUAUCUUCUCCAUCCACCCCUUCAACAAAAAUUCGCCAAGUAUGAGUGUGAUCAGUAGGGGCCUUCUCUUUCUCCUCUUUGGUCAAUGGUUUGGCAUCGUUGCCAACUAGGAUUGGUCUUGAUAUUUGGCAUUUGCUCACUCGUGUAUUAGGUGCCAUUUUAACUAAGUAUCAAAAGUAAAAAUAAAAAGAGUAUGGGAACUAGUGAAGAUUUAUUAUUUAAUUC